rnacentral:rRNA from 1 species
CCUACGGGAGGCAGCAGUCGGGAAUAUUGGACAAUGGGCGAAAGCCUGAUCCAGCCAUGCCGCGUGUGUGAAGAAGGCCUUCGGGUUGUAAAGCACUUUCAGUGGGGAAGAAAGCCUUGGGGCUAAUACCCUCGAGGAAGGACAUCACCCACAGAAGAAGCACCGGCUAACUCCGUGCCAGCAGCCGCGGUAAUACGGAGGGUGCGAGCGUUAAUCGGAAUUACUGGGCGUAAAGCGCGCGUAGGCGGUCUGAUAAGCCGGUUGUGAAAGCCCCGGGCUCAACCUGGGAACGGCAUCCGGAACUGUCAGGCUAGAGUGCAGGAGAGGAAGGUAGAAUUCCCGGUGUAGCGGUGAAAUGCGUAGAGAUCGGGAGGAAUACCAGUGGCGAAGGCGGCCUUCUGGACUGACACUGACGCUGAGGUGCGAAAGCGUGGGUAGCAAACAGGAUUAGAUACCCUAGUAGUC